rnacentral:tRNA from 1 species
UCAGAGAGGGACUCCCAUCUCUGGCCCCCAAAGCCAGUAUUUUUCUACUUAAACUACUCUCUG